rnacentral:rRNA from 1 species
CCCAGACUCCUACGGGAGGCAGCAGUGGGGGAUAUUGCACAAUGGGGGGAACCCUGAUGCAGCGACGCCGCGUGGGUGAAGGAGCGUUUCGGCGCGUAAAGCCCUAUCGGCAGGGAAGAAGGAGGACGGUACCUGACUAAGAAGCCCCGGCUAACUACGUGCCAGCAGCCGCGGUAAUACGUAGGGGGCAAGCGUUAUCCGGAUUUACUGGGUGUAAAGGGGGCGCAGACGGCAGCGCAAGCCAGGAGUGAAAGCCCGGGGCCCAACCCCGGGACUGCUCUUGGAACUGCGCGGCUGGAGUGCAGGAGGGGCAGGCGGAAUUCCUGGUGUAACGGUGAAAUGCGUAGAUAUCAGGAGGAACACCGGUGGCGAAGGCGGCCUGCUGGACUGCGACUGACGUUGAGGCCCGAAAGCGUGGGGAGCAAACAGGAUUAGAUACCCGCGUAGA